AAGUCGUAACAAGGUUUCCGUAGGUGAACCUGCGGAGGGAUCAUUACCGAGUUAGGGUCUCACCGGCCCGAAUCUCCCAACCCUUUGUCUACUUGACCAUCGUUGCUUCGGCGAGCCCGUCCUCACGGACCGCCGGGGGGUCUUCGUACCCCUUGGCCCGUGCUCGUCGAUAGCCCCCAAACUUGAAAAAUCUUUAACUAAACGUGUCUUGAAUCUAAGUAUUAUUGUUAAAUAAAAACAAAACUUUCAACAACGGAUCUCUUGGUUCUG
rnacentral:misc_RNA from 1 species